CCUACGGGUGGCAGCAGUGAGGAAUAUUGGUCAAUGGACGAGAGUCUGAACCAGCCAAGUAGCGUGAAGGAUGACUGCCCUAUGGGUUGUAAACUUCUUUUAUCAAGGAAUAAAACGAGGCACGUGUGCCUUUUUGCAUGUACUUUAUGAAUAAGGAUCGGCUAACUCCGUGCCAGCAGCCGCGGUAAUACGGAGUAUCCGAGCGUUAUCCGGAUUUAUUGGGUUUAAAGGGUGCGCAGAUGGGUUGUUAAGUCAGUUGUGAAAGUUUGCGGCUCAAACGUGAAAUUGCAAUUGAUACUGGCAGUCUUGAGUACAGUUGAGGUAGGCGGAAUGCGUGGUGGAGCGGUGAAAUGCAUAGAUAUCACGAAGAAACCCGAUUGCGAAGGCAGCAUACUAAACUGUGACUGACAUUGAUGCUCGAAAGUGUGGGUAUCGAACAGGAUUAGAUACCCUUGUAGUC
rnacentral:rRNA from 1 species